rnacentral:rRNA from 1 species
UUCAACUUGAGAGUUUGAUCCUGGCUCAGAACGAACGCUGGCGGCAGGCUUAACACAUGCAAGUCGAGCGCCCCGCAAGGGGAGCGGCAGACGGGUGAGUAACGCGUGGGAACGUACCAUUUGCUACGGAAUAACUCAGGGAAACUUGUGCUAAUACCGUAUGUGCCCUUCGGGGGAAAGAUUUAUCGGCAAAUGAUCGGCCCGCGUUGGAUUAGCUAGUUGGUGGGGUAAAGGCUCACCAAGGCGACGAUCCAUAGCUGGUCUGAGAGGAUGAUCAGCCACACUGGGACUGAGACACGGCCCAGACUCCUACGGGAGGCAGCAGUGGGGAAUAUUGGACAAUGGGCGCAAGCCUGAUCCAGCCAUGCCGCGUGAGUGAUGAAGGCCCUAGGGUUGUAAAGCUCUUUCACCGGUGAAGAUAAUGACGGUAACCGGAGAAGAAGCCCCGGCUAACUUCGUGCCAGCAGCCGCGGUAAUACGAAGGGGGCUAGCGUUGUUCGGAUUUACUGGGCGUAAAGCGCACGUAGGCGGACUUUUAAGUCAGGGGUGAAAUCCCGGGGCUCAACCCCGGAACUGCCUUUGAUACUGGAAGUCUUGAGUAUGGUAGAGGUGAGUGGAAUUCCGAGUGUAGAGGUGAAAUUCGUAGAUAUUCGGAGGAACAC